rnacentral:misc_RNA from 1 species
GAAAUGCGAUAAGUAAUGUGAAUUGCAGAAUUCAGUGAAUCAUCGAAUCUUUGAACGCACAUUGCGCCCGCCAGCAUUCUGGCGGGCAUGCCUGUUCGAGCGUCAUUUCAACCCUCGAGCCCCCCCGGGGGCCUCGGUGUUAGGGGACGGCACACCAGCCGCCCCCGAAAUGCAGUGGCGACCCCGCCGCAGCCUCCCCUGCGUAGUAGCACACACCUCGCACCGGAGCGCGGAGGCGGUCACGCCGUAAAACGCCCAACUUUCUUAGAGUUGACCUCGGAUCAGGUAGGAAUACGCGCUGAACUUGAGC